CCUGCACAUUGUUAGAGCUUGGAGUCGAGGUCACAUGCUGGUCCAUGAACUCACAAGUGAACAUAGUGUGCUAAAAUGGCAAGGUUUUUGCUAACACCCCACUCUAGUCCAGUGAGUGGGGUUUGAUAGUAACCUUUGCUACAAGU